GGAAGGUGGCUUCCUGUCAACUGCCAUUCAACAAUUCCAAGAAAGGAAAUUCUAAACAGUGGCUGGAGGUGGGGGAAGGGCGCAAAAUCAAGAACGAAUGUUCUCCGCCUCCCACCUCAACCCAGAGCUUAAGGCCUGCUGAUUAGACCAAUUAUCAUUACUUAAUAAGUUUUCAAUACUGCUCUACUCAAACAGAACAAAAAAAUUUAGUGACACCACAAAGGACUCAAGGAACAACUGUGCGGAUUCAAGUUUCCAUUACGGAACCCAACCUGAAAUUGGAGCCUCAGCCUAAGUAUGCAGCAUUCAAGGAGUGAGGAUGUAACAGCAUGUGUGCGAAGGCACUGGCACGAUAAAAAAAUACCUGCACGUGAGUCCAUUAGAGUGGAGAUGGUUUGGACAGAUCACCUUUCUCGAUCUUGCCCAUCUGCUCCCACUGGCUUAACAAGAUGACUGGAAUUGUGUUGGCUGCACUCGAUGAUCUACAGCGCCUCUGCACCCAUGCUGACAAACUUUGCAUUGCACACACUGCUGUGCUACAAUGCUUCCAGUACCACUAAGGCAAUACCAUUUCCUCUGCUGAUUCCAUCAAGGCAGCUAUUUGUUUUUUCGUGCAUUUAGGAAACAGUGAUUGGAAAUGGAUAGUCUCCUUCUUGCAUGGACACCAGCUCAUGUGGUCUUCUCUCCUGUUUGUCCUUUGGACAACAUAACUGCAGGGAUGUGGCUGCUGCCUUGCACAAGCAGCUAUGUGAAGCUAUAGCGGAGAGCUGGAUGAUUGUCAGGGACCAUUUUCAGUUAUCCAUUUAGCUCUGAAGUAGGACUGCGGUUGACUACUGUAAAAGGGGCUACUUCCGACACAUACUUCAACAUCUAUAUACAGGAGGCAUUCAUAAAUAUUUGCUGCAUCUUGGUACAACAGCGGGGCAUUAGUGAAAAAUUCCAGCCUUGACAUUUCUAUAUCUUAAGCCUUCGGUCUACUGAAUUUAAUCACUCUCUAGGUCAAGUCUUUCAGUUUCACCCCUCUACCCUGCAACAGAAUCUCUUCUCUCCCAAACAUUGCCUUAUUACACAAAAGGAGACAAGUUUACCUGAGACAUUUCAGGUUGUAUGGGUUGACAGUGGGUUUGAGUCAAAGAAAAAGGCAAAUUGACAUCAAACCUACUGAAUUAGAACCUUUGCCCCAAGUAAAUAAGCUCCAAAUGAUCCCACUAAAAGGAGAGGUUCACAACAAAAACUCCUUUACUAAAUAUUGCUGAGACAACACAAUGCAUGUUUCACUGUACAGAAUGCUUGAGAUGUUCCGGUACACUCAGUGACUAUAUAAAUUCAAGGGUUAUUGUUUUAACUGCGAUUCCUGAAUUUACUGCAGUUACAUUGGAUCAGUGGCAGGUUUGAUGGAUUGUUCCCUCUUGGUCAAACAAGGCCCCAUUUGCACCAACUGGUUACCUCCCUCCAGUGACCUCUUCCAGCAAGGAAAAAUAAUCAAUUACAGAUGGAAGUGAAGUACUGAGGUAGUCUGCGGUUCUGGUUCUGAUAUGGACAGAAACAAAAUACUUUAGACGGACCCACAGAUCAUUGCUUAGCACGAUCCCAGCUUCAGGCAGUGCCCACACACCACAUGGUUCAAUUAGCAGUCUGUAUCCUAACUGCAUUGUAACUCUCCUGAUCCUUGGCCACCAGACAGCACAUUUCAGCACCAAGUAAGAGGAGCUGCCUGUUUUUUUGUUUAUUUGUUUUGAACAGAAAGUCAUCACCUAGCAAUGGGUGACAGAGUGGAGUCACUAUGGAACCUUUGCCAGGAAUCUCAGCUCAGGAAUGAUGUUGAAGAGCAGAAGGUAAAAUAAUUGUGGACUCAGAUCAGACUUGAGUUAUAACUUGCAUUAUAGUUUAUUCAUCUUCUUGAGUCUCAUUAAAACAUAUGUAUACAUUAGGCAUGAGUACAGGCGAAUGCACCUACAGUACAGUGUCCAGAUUUUUUUCUUCUUUUCUGUUUCCAAAAAUAAGUCCUGUUGCACUCAGUGAGACAAAACACUCAAAAAUAAAAACCGUGGGAACUGCUCCAGUCAGUCAACAAAGACCAAAGCAGCAUUGUGUGAGACAGAGCCAAAGAGAAACUUCAAAUUUCAAAGUGGCAACAGUUUUUGUCAAAGCACCCAGAAAGGAUUUAUCAGUUCAUACUGUUACAUGUGCAACUGUCCUUAAGCUGCAGUCAGAGAAUGAAUUGGUGAUGCUUCAUCCCACCUCACCCCAGUUUCUUAAAGGAACAUUUUGUUAACCAAUCAGGGCACCAUGAUAUGGAGAGGGCCACUGUAAUCUUUCAAUGUACAGGCUGACCUGUUUUCCAUGUCUGUCUAAUGCAUAUUUAUUUUUACCCCUACUCUCAAGAACAACCAAAAUUGACCACAAUCAUAAAAUAAGCAAAUUAAUCAUACCCCAAAUCUCACACAAUAAUUUAAUAUUAGAUGGAACAGUGAUUCUGGCUUCAGGACUGGUAACACACUAGAUAGGUUAGGGAGUAUGAAGGGCUUUGACUGAUGGUGGAAAGGCUCUGCAGCAGAUAAGAGAUCAUUCCUUUCACCUCUUUAUUCACUGUUUGAAUCCCAGGACAGAAUAGCAGCCAUUGAGAGCACUGUAUAAUGAAGCAGCUCAGGAUAGUCAUGGUUGGUGCUAGGAGUGAAUGAAAACAAAUCUAUAGAACCUUGAGUGCUUAAUACAUAAACCAAAGUAAUAAUUGUGAAGUUUCUAAGGUAAGUUUAGAUUUAAUGGUUAGAGAGGGCUGGAGCAUGAAAAUAUGGCAACGUGAAUUUCCUGGAGAAAGAAUAGCACACAGAGCAAGGGAUAGAUUAAAAGACUUUUCUGAAACACAAAUGAGGCGGAUUGAGAGAAAUGAAGUGCCAAGGCACCUUAUAUGGCAACUGAUAGAGUGAUGGCUGAUUAGUGAGGCUGGAGCUGAUUAUUUGUCCGGAGUAGGGGAAUGGAAGAUACAGGUUGGAUAUGCGGUUGAAGUCAAUAACUGAAAUAAAAAUGGGUGAGAGGGUAAAGGAAUUUGGAUAUGAGAUUAAAAUAAGUAUUGUUUAAAAAAUACACCAAAAAACGUCCCAAAUUUUACUCUCACAAAGCAAACUAAUUAAUAAAUGUCUGCCAGCAGAUGACAGAUGGGGAUGCAGGUCUAUGACAGAUUAUGCAACACUCUACCGUGGGAACAACAGCAUGUUACAAGACGCUUCAAUGUACCAGUACAAUGUUUGUAAGGGCAGUGAAAUAUCCCAACACCAUUAAACUUGUUGAACAACUUUA